UCUGUGCUGCAGCGGAGGAAUAUGACACGGGGAUGAGCGAGCGCAAGAGAGAAAGACACAGAGAGGAGGGAGGGAGACGGCCAGCCAGGAAUUAACGGUUCGUCAAGAGGUCUGUACUGAUAGCGUUACGAUGGGGAGCAAUGACUGACGGCAGAACGGUUUUCUGCAUCCCCACUGUCUUCCUCUCCUUCUCAACUUGUGAAGCCAUGGACUAGAGCUGCGUCUGGUCCAAACGGUCCCGCGGUCAUCUGAUGGCUUCGCAUCAAACCUCAGCAAAAAUACGGAAAAUGAGAACGUGAAGGCUGGCGUCCACCAAGGCCUCCGCUGCACCGUGGGCAGCGCACACACAUGAUCACAUGACUCUGGACAUGGAUGCGGUCCUGUCAGACUUUGUUCGGUCCACGGGGGCAGAACCAGGUUUGGCAAGAGACCUGCUGGAAGGUAAAAACUGGGACCUUAGUGCCGCUCUGAAUGAUUAUGAGGAGCUCAGGCAGGUCCACACUGCCAACCUGCCGUCAGUCUUCAACGAGGGCCGCUACUACAAACAGCUGGAGGCACGUGACACACCAACCCAUGUCAGCAAGAUCGACAGAUCGUGUGCGCAGAAGCAGGAAGACAAUGGACAAGAGAAGCGUCUGUCCCGUGGAAUCUCACAUGCCAGCUCUGCCAUUGUCUCCCUGGCGAGACUACAAGUGGCCAACGAGUGUACCAACGAGCAGUUCCCUCUUGAGAUGCCCAUCUACACAUUCCAGCUGCCAGAUCUCAGCGUGUACAGCGAAGACUUCAGGAGUUUCAUAGAGAGAGAUCUGAUAGAGCAGUCCACUAUGAUGGCUCUGGAGCAAGCUGGUCGUCUGAACUGGUGGUCCACUAUGUGCACCAGCUGUAAGAAGCUGCUUCCUCUGGCCACCACUGGGGAUGGGAACUGCCUCCUCCAUGCUGCUUCUUUAGGGAUGUGGGGCUUCCAUGAUAGAGACCUGAUGCUGAGGAAGUCCCUGUAUACCAUGAUGAAGAGCGGAACAGAGAGAGACGCCCUGAAGAGGAGGUGGAGGUGGCAGCAAACCCAACAGAACAAGGAGUCUGGCCUGAUGUACACAGAGGAGGAGUGGGAGCGGGAAUGGAACGAGUUGCUCAAGUUGGCCUCCAGUGAGCCUCGCACUCACCUCAGCAAAAAUGGCAACACGAGCGGAGGGGUGGAUAAUGCUGAGGAUCCAGUCUAUGAGAGUCUGGAGGAGUUCCAUGUGUUUAUGUUGGCCCACGUACUCCGCAGGCCGAUUGUCGUGGUGGCCGACACGAUGCUAAGAGACUCAGGAGGAGAAGCAUUUGCACCAAUCCCGUUUGGAGGUCUCUACUUACCCCUGGAGGUGCCUCCAAGUCGAUGUCACUGUUCCCCGCUGGUGUUGGCUUAUGAUCAGGCACACUUCUCUGCACUGGUGUCCAUGGAGCAGAGGGACCAGCAGCGAGAACAAGCUGUAAUCCCUUUGACGGACUCAGAGCACAAAUUGCUGGCGCUCCAUUUUGCUGUGGACCCUGGCAGGGACUGGGAGUGGGGCAGGGAUGACAACGAUAACACCAAGCUAGCCAACCUUAUCUUGUCACUGGAGGCCAAACUGAACCUGUUGCACAACUACAUGAAUGUAACAUGGAUCCGAAUUCCAUCCGAAACAAGGGCUCCCCUGGCUCAGCCUGAGUCUCCGACCGCAUCUGCAGGUGAGGACGUGCAGUCCCUGGCUGAGUCCAUUGACUCUGACCGUGAGUCUGUUGGCAGCAACUCCAAUGUCAACACGGGCAAGAGCAACAAGGACAAGGACAAAGAGAAACCGCAGCAUCGCAAAGACAAAGACAAGAGCCGGGCCGAUUCUGUAGCUAACAAGCUAGGUAGCUUCAGCAAAACACUGGGAAUCAAGCUAAAGAAGAACAUGGGGGGCCUGGGUGGUCUAGUGCACGGCAAAAUGAACAAAUCCAACUCUGGCUCAAGUCGAAGUGGGGAGAAUGGAGCAGAAAAGACAAAAAAGAAAGACUCUAAGUCACCCAAAGGGACUAAAGAUGAGACGGGCCACUCAGCCAGCUCCACUUCCUCUGAAAAGGCCACAAGCCCCUCCCCUACAGAUCGAGACAAACCCUCCAGCUCCUCCCCCACCGACAGAACGGACAGUGCAGGGAGGGUCUCGGGGGACAAGAGCCUUGAGAACUGGAAAUACAGCACAGACGUCAAGCUCAGCCUCAACAUCUUGCGGGCCGCCAUGCAGGGCGAGCGCAAGUUCAUCUUUGCGGGCCUCCUCCUCACCAGCCACCGACACCAGUUCCACGAGGAGAUGAUCAGCUACUACCUGACCAACGCCCAGGAGCGCUUCAGCCAGGAGCAGGAGCAGAAGAGGAAGGAGGCCGAGAAGAAUCCCCCGGUCUCCAGUGAGGUGGCCGCCAAGAAGCCGGAAAACGAGAGCGUCUUCCAAAGGGAGAGAUCGGACAGCUCGCCCCCGGAGAGCUGCUCUCCUGUCCUGCCCCACCACACCUACGCCCCGCAGCCCACCGUGGCGCUCAAGUUACAAGGCAGGAACAGUCCCAUCCCCGUGGCCCCUCACGUCUCGUUACCGGUUCCUCCGCUCACCCCGCCCGCAACCUCCCACCACGUCCCCCACCCUGCCUCUGCGCCUUACUCCUCCCCCAGUUUUGGUGCUAAGAGACUUGGGCCCGUUCCCGUGUCCGCCCACUACAGCCAUACCCCUCCCAUCCAGAGGCACAGUGUGAUUCACCUACAAGAUGUCAACAUGCAAUCCCCCAUCGUCGACCCCUAUAAGCCCGUGGUGGGCACCCUCAAGACAUGCGCCACCUACCCACAGCAGAACCGCACGCUGUCCUCGCAGAGCUACAGCCCUGCUCGCUUGUCGGGCGUGCGUACCGCCAACACCCUGGAAACGCUGGCGUACAACAUGCCCGGGGAACACAAGUCCCACACGUACACCAACGGAUUCAACGCGGGAGACAUUCAAGACUGCCUGGAGUUCGCCGACGAGGACAACUCGUCUUACACCUGGCUCAACCAAGACAAAACCAAAGGGCGCAGCUCUGGAAGCCCUUUGUACUGCUUUCAGCAGCGCCGCUGCAAGAGGGACAACUGCUCCUUCUACGGCAGGCCCGAAACUGACCACUACUGCUCCUACUGCUACAGGGAGGAGCUCAAGCGCAGGGAGAGGGAGAGCAAAGUGCAGAGGCCCACAUAGCCAUCGCCGCCAAGGGAGCGACGCUACUUGCACUUUGCAUCCACAACAACACGAUGGCAAACCUCUUGUUAUUUUGUUGGAAGAAUGCUCUUUUAUUCCUGCCCCCUUUCCUUGUUAGUCAAGAUGAGGGAAGCAGAACUCAAAACGGAUGUCCACUGCGGUUCGCUUCUGUCGGUCCUGUCCACACUGCGGUGUCGCUCCUCCUCCACCUCUUCGUUUCUACGUGACCCCCUUCAUGGACUCCCACCAUGUUAGGACUGUAAGAUAUGAUUUUGUAUUCCUUUAAGACUUUUACACUACUUUAAAUUAUUGAUUUGCACAUUAGGUACAGAUGUAUAUAUGAACAAAAUAAUAGUUUAUUGUUACAAACAUAAUUUGUCUGUCUUUAUUUUCUUGGAACAUAUACAGUAGAUGGAUUUUUUUCACAGUAAUAGGGACCGAGCCCUGCCACGUAUAGGGAAACACCGUGAGUAAUUGAUGCCCCAUAAAAUAUUUAUACAUGCCUAUAUUAAUAGUUUAAACAAUAAAUAUACCACAAGCAAUUACCACCAUGCAGUUUAAAUCAUUUAAAACAUUUUACCACAUUACCCUUAAAAAUAAAUGGCUUACAUAUUGUUUGAUUUAAAAACAAAUAAAUAAAUAAAUUUAAGAAAAAACAAGUAUUGCAUUUGCAGCAAAGACUCCCGUAACGUCCACAAACAACCUAAGCUCCUACCUGACAUACUAACCUUUACUCUAAAUUGAGAUAUAUCUCUUCAAUAUGCUUCCUGGACACCAAAUUGCGAGGCUACUAUCCUAUUUAGACGGGGCUUUGGCAGCAUUUAAAAAUCCUCUCAAAAAAUGCACAAAAACUGCAAAUAGGUGAAUUUUGGGGCGAAUAGCUGGAAAACAAACAGGUGAAUUCGUAAAUAAACUGGAAAUAUGCGGGCGAUUACUGUCAAUGCUCUGUGCUGGGCAGCACGGUGGUUGAGAGGUUGCCAUGUCUGACUCACAGUUGCGAAGUACAGUGUUCAAAUCUUUCCUCCAGCCUUCCUGUGUGGAGUUGGCAUUUUCUGUGCUUGUGUGGGUUUUCUCUGAGUGUGGGUACUCUGGCUUCAUUCCACAUUCCAAAAACAAUGACACUAAAUUGUCCAUACAAGUGAACGUGUGAAUGCUUGUUUUUCUAAAUGUGCCCUGCGAUUGGCUGGCGACCAGUCCAGGGUAUACCCUGGCUCUCGCCCCAAAGUCAGCUACGAUAGGCUCAAGCUUACCCGUGACCCUAUUGAAGACAAGUAAUGUAGAAAAUGGAUGGACGGAUGGUAUGGUAUGUGCUUUCACUUUUCACUAGCAAUCCAGUGUAAUGUCCUCUGAGUUUUUUUCCACAGGGUCUAAAACCAGAUGAUAAUAGUUUGAAUUGAUGGAGUUACACACACCUUGAAUUAAUUGUGCACAGUUACAUUCAAUGUGAUGCCAUGAGACUUUAUUUGGAAAUGUUAUCAACAAUCAAGCACUAUAUAAGCUUUAAGCUCCGCUAUUUUCCAGCAAAUCCCCACUGCCAUGAUGAAUCAUCAAACUCCAAAAAUAUGGCUGACAUGCUGCACUGAAAUCAAUACUUUCAAAGUCAAUAGUCAUAUUUGUGAGCGAUUUAUUAAUUAAAAACAACUGUGUGAUUACCCCCACCCCCAGUAAUGCAAUUAUGUGACCUGCAAUGCACUCCACAAAUGCAGCCGACAUGCACGUUCCAAUGAAAACGCAGUAUUUUUCCACAAAAUGCAAUGAUUAAGGCAGUGAGGUUAGCUACUUUUACUGCAUAAGAAUCAUGAAUUUAAAAGAUUUAUGCUUUUUAAAGUAGAACUUAAAUAUGUCCUGCCAUAAAUAUGGUAAACAUGUUGCCCACAGUUUCUUCAUUAAAGAGAACAUUUUUAAGUAACGCAAAAGCACAUACUCCCUAUUGAUUUACAAAGCAUUACUUUCUACUAAAUACUGUAAGUGUGUGAAUGUGCUCUAACCUCUUGUGCAACGUUGGGCUGAAGCUUUAACAAAGGGGAAAGUGCAUACAGUGGAAACCAAAUUUUCAAGGCCCUAAAUUGAGACCGUUAAGCAUAUUGAAGAGCAACUCAUGAAGUCAACUCACCGUUAGCAAGCCGCCCUCUACACUUCAUCCAAGGGUGAGUAGUUUUAUUUUAGCCUUCUGUAUUUGCUUUAGUGUUCAGGCAGCACAGUGAACAAGUGGCCUCUCAUUUCUGAGGUUCAGGGUCUGAUUCUUGCUUCAUGCCUUCCUGUCUGGAGUUUCUCCGGGCACUCGCACUACAUACAAAAACAUAAACAUGCAUGUUGGGUUCAAUUGUCCAUAGGUGGGAAUGUAAGUGUGAAUUGAUGUCUGUAUAUGGCCUGUAAUUAACUGGCGACCAAUCCAGGGUGUAACCCACCUCUCACCCAGUCAGCUGGGAGGCCCCUGCUCACUUGUGUCCCUAAUGAGGACAAGCUCGAUAGAAAAUUGAUGGAUUUUAUUAUUAGUAGUAAUUAGGGCUGUGAAAAAAAAAAAUCGGCUAAGUCGACUACAUAAAUUGGUGGGCGCAAAAAUUUCUGCCUCGAGGCAAUAGAAAGUAUUAAAAGCAUAUUUGCGCCUCCCCAAACCAAUUUACCAUUUGGCCACUGUCCCAUGUUUCCCACACGAACAUUUUUUUGCAAACGGACUCACUGUUGGGUCAGUGGAGAAGUGUUGCCAAAAACAACAGAGCAGCAUCUGUAAGUGAAUUUUAAGACACUAUUAGAUGUGUAAUGUACAUAUAACAUGAUGUAUGAAGGCGUACCAAGUUCUCACAUGGAAGAAAGUGGGGAAGUGACAAGAAAGGUUACUUCCUUGUUCUCUAGCCACAAAUUUACUUUGUAAACAAAUAUAGUGCAGCUCAGCUGUUGGUUGGCUGACGCUGUGGCAAGCAAUAUGCCUUCGGCAGUACAGCAAACUCAUUUGAAACAGCAUUCAAAAAUAUAAUAUACUGUACGUGGGUUUUUUUAGAAGCUAUUUUUAAACAAACAAUCUUUAUUCAUAACUUCUAUAAAAGUGGGUUGCAACAAUAGGAAAAUGCAGGUCCCAGGGUGACAACAGUUGAGAAAAACUGGUUUACACCCUAUUUUUACUUUUACUACAUACAAACCCCCAUCACAGCACUCUUUAUGAAACGCAUGAUAUUCUAUUUAAAGUUUCAGAUUUUAAAAAAAUAAAAAUAAAAUAAAAAAUGUAAAUCAGGCGCAGCAAGGAUGAGUUGGUGCAGUGAGAAGGGAGAGAAGGUUACUUUGUGGGCUACAGCCUGGUGUGUGUGUGUGUGUGUGUGUGUGUGUGUGUGUGUGUGUGUCUUGUGACCGGACGGACACAUGGGUUCAACUCUCCUCUGGGGGUUGGCUAUUAUGGACUGCAGCUUGUAAUAAAUAUAAACCUUUAAGGGUGAAGCCAUGAAACCUCCAUGUGAUGUCACGUUCACACAAACACACACACACACACAAGGGCGUGCUGUUGUCGCAGCACGGCGUAUUCAAACAGGAUGUGCUAUUUGUGGCCCCUCCCCUUUUCCCCCUUGGAUGGCAACGACCUCACACAGUCAAACAUGGCCGCCUCUCAUCGGGGUUGCCCUCCGUGACCUUCUUGAGGGUUAAGCCUCCCACUCAGCCGGUGCCAGCCACCAAAACGCCCGACCCACCAUGCGCAGUGCCUAGAGUGGGUGGCCUCCGCUUUAGCAAACACAUAUACACACACACUCUCACACACAGACACUCUUGGAUUGGGCAGGGUGCAGCUGCAGCAAAUACGCGUGCGCCCGUGCGUGUGCGUGUGUGUGUGCGUGUGUGUGUGUGUGAGCUUGAGUGAGUGAACGACACUCACAAUUGGACCCAAAGACUGCCCACACAGUUAUGUAGCAACGAUCGACACACAGGUUUCACCUUGACUGUGCUUGCCUAUGGAAGCUGACAACGCAAGCAGGAAAAGUGUGAGUAAAGAGAUCCAUCAGUCAAGGCACCUCCUCCACCUCCACAUCCUGUCUGCACUCACACACUGUAAGAGCGCAUCCUCACUACGCAGGAGAAAGUGUGUCAUCAUCAGGGAGGGCCGACAACGUGACUGGAAGAGACCCUCAGAGAAUGGGCCUCACACACACACACAUCUCUCUCUAUCUUUCUCUCUCACACACUCUUUUUAAUAUGGUGUAUUUUUUAAUAUGGUUAGCAUGCUUAACUGGUUUGUUGUAGUUUCAUGACGAGAAACACAGGACACAGUAUUAGGUACACCUGCACAAUCGAAUGAGAACCAAGACGAGAUGUAUCAAAAAACUAAUGAUGCUCUGUUUGAUUGACAUUGGGAGAGAAGUAUUGUCAGAUUAAGAUUGUGGCUGUUUUUAGACCUACAUUGCACUACUGACAGUUUCAAAUAUUUAUUUAUUUAUUAAU